GGCCAAAACUUGAAGUAGAGUAGAUUGGUAAGAUCGGCUGACCCUACUAAACUUUUCUACUCCGAGUCUGUGUUC
rnacentral:pre_miRNA from 1 species